CGGAGGUGCAAGCGUUGUCCGGAUUAUUGGUUAAGGUGCGCAGGUGGUAUUAAGUCUGGUUGAAGCAGGUGGCUCAACCAUCUGAUGUGGCUGGAAACUGGAUAUCUUGAAUGGGUUGGCGGUAGCCGGAAUGGGUCAUGUAGCGGUGAAAUGCAUAGAUAUGACCCGGAACACCGAUUGCGAAGGCAGGCUACUACGACUUGAUUGACACUGAGGCACGAGAGCAUGGUAGCGAACAGGAUU
rnacentral:rRNA from 1 species